rnacentral:tRNA from 1 species
CAGCGUGAUCGGCCUGGAGCGGGAGCGGCUGCUCUGGGCGGCCGGCCUGCGGACCCACAUGCUGGUCUGCGUCGGUUCCUGCCUGAUCAUGCUGG